GUGUUCGCUUUGGCAGCACACAUGCUGAAAUUGGAACGAUACAAUUAGCAUGGCCCCUGCACAAGGAUGACAUGCAAAUUCAUGAAACGUUCCAAAAAAAG
rnacentral:snRNA from 1 species